AGAGAGAGACAUGCGCGCAUAUCAAUAAGCGGAGGAAAAGAAACUAACAAGGAUUCCCUUAGUAACGGCGAGUGAAGCGGGAAGAGCUCAAAUUUGAAAUCUUCAAGGUUUUACCUUGACGAAUUGUAGUUUAAAGAAGUGUUUUCUGCUGAAGUUUUGGUAAAAGUUCUUUGGAAUAGGACAUCAUAGAGGGUGAGAAUCCCGUAUUUGACCAUUAUUUUCAGCUUUGUGAUACACUUUCAAAGAGUCGGAUUGUUUGGGAAUGCAGUCCAAAAUGGGUGGUAAAUUUCAUCUAAAGCUAAAUAUUGGCGAGAGACCGAUAGGCGAACAAGUACCGUGAGGGAAAGAUGAAAAGAACUUUGAAAAGAGAGUUAAACAGUACGUGAAAUUGUCAAAAGGGAAGCGUUUGACACCAGUGUUGUUUUCUCGAAAAUCAAUUAAAAAUGGCUCGAUUUUGUAUUGCUUGAGACCUUAAAAGCUCACUGUACAUUUUUCGUGUCUUUUUUAAUGCACUUUUCGUUUAACAAGUCAACAUCAGUUUCUUUUGUUGUAAAAGGGUCAUUGGAAGGUGGCUUUCUUUUCGGAGAAAGUGUUUAUAGCCUUUGGCCUCUGCAAUCGGAAGAGACUGAGGUCUGCAGCGUAGACUCUUCGGGGUUAGAUACAUUUGUGCUAAGUUAUAGCUUUUUAUAGACAACUUGUUGACUAUAAUUAGUCUUGUAGCUUACUCGCUUAUGCUAUUUUACCUACGCUUAGGAUGUUGAGUCGUAGAGCACGCAG
rnacentral:rRNA from 1 species